GGGUCAGUAGGUUGGUCGUGCCACCGGUACGUACUGGUCUCACUGAUUCCUCCCUCCUGAAGAACCGUAAUGCCAUUAAUUUGGUGUUGCGGGGAAACAGGACUGUUACUUUGAAAAAAUUAGAGUGUUUAAAGCAAGCUAACGCUUGAAUACAUUGGCAUGGAAUAAUGAAAUAGGACGAUCGAUCCUAUUUUGUUGGUUUCUAGGAUUGACGUA
rnacentral:rRNA from 1 species